rnacentral:rRNA from 1 species
AUUGAACGCUGGCGGCAUGCCUUACACAUGCAAGUCGAACGGCAGCGCGGACUUCGGUCUGGCGGCGAGUGGCGAACGGGUGAGUAACAUAUCGGAACGUGCCCUGGAGUGGGGGAUAACUAGUCGAAAGACUAGCUAAUACCGCAUACGAUCUACGGAUGAAAGUGGGGGAUCGCAAGACCUCAUGCUCGUGGAGCGGCCGAUAUCUGAUUAGCUAGUUGGUGGGGUAAAGGCCUACCAAGGCAUCGAUCAGUAGCUGGCCUGAGAGGACGACCAGCCACACUGGGACUGAGACACGGCCCAGACUCCUACGGGAGGCAGCAGUGGGGAAUUUUGGACAAUGGGGGCAACCCUGAUCCAGCAAUGCCGCGUGAGUGAAGAAGGCCUUCGGGUUGUAAAGCUCUUUUGUCAGGGAAGAAACGGUCCGGGCUAAUAUCCUGGGCUAAUGACGGUACCUGAAGAAUAAGCACCGGCUAACUACGUGCCAGCCGCCGCAGUAAAAC